UUUCUGGAUUUGUACAGGAUUUUAAGAUUAAGAUGGUUGAAUGCUUUCCAGGCUCAUAGUCUCAUAGCCACUCAGGUGCGGUUAAAGAAUCAAUCAAUGCUCAAAGCUCAAAACACACACAUUGUUCAUUCUGAGGAAAACAUUAAGGGUGUGACGUUUGUGAAAAUUGUUCCUAAAUCUUGCCUGGGAAUAGGAAAAGAAGGCAAUGAAGGUUGUUCCAUUCGCAAUGAUGAUCAAGAGAAAACCACUGUGUUUAUAU